rnacentral:rRNA from 1 species
UACGUAGGGGGCUAGCGUUGUCCGGAAUCAUUGGGCGUAAAGCGCGCGUAGGCGGCCAGAUAAGUCCGGUGUGAAAGUCACAGGCUCAACCUGUGAAUGCCGCUGGAAACUGUCUGGCUUGAGUCCGGAAGGGGCGAGUGGAAUUCCUGGUGUAGCGGUGAAAUGCGCAGAUAUCAGGAGGAACACCAAUGGCGAAGGCAGAUCUCUGGGCCGUAACUGACGCUGAGGAGCGAAAGCAUGGGGAGCGAACAGG